CUGGAGAUAAAGAAGACAUAUGUAACUAUAGAGGCAUUUCUAUUUUAAACUGUCUAGCAAAAUUAUAUAGCUCUAUUUUGAAUAAAAGACUAGUAAAGCAUUAUGAAAAUAAGUUCUCCAGUCAUCAAUUUGGAUUUCGUUCAAAUCACAGAACAUCUGAUAGCAUAUUUAUUUUAAAAACUCUUGUCACUAAAUAUUUGAAAAAAAAUAAGAAAAAGCUGUUUGCUUGUUUUGUAGAUUUGCGUGGUGCUUUUGACUCUGUUUGGCAUAAUGGCCUGUUGUAUAAAUUGAUAAAUGAUGGUGUUGGUGUGAAAUUUUAUACUACUUUGAAAAAUAUGUAUAGUUUAUCCCAGUCUGCACUGAAGAUUGGCAAUGAACACUCUUUGUUUUUUCCAAUAAUUAGAGGUGUAAGACAAGGGGACAGUUUAAGUCCUACUUUGUUUAAUUGUU
rnacentral:lncRNA from 1 species